rnacentral:rRNA from 1 species
UACGUAGGGGGCUAGCGUUGUCCGGAAUCAUUGGGCGUAAAGCGCGCGUAGGCGGCCCGGUAAGUCCGCUGUGAAAGUCAAAGGCUCAACCUUUGAAUGUCAGCGGAUACUGCCGGGCUAGAGUCCGGAAGAGGCGAGUGGAAUUCCUGGUGUAGCGGUGGAAUGCGUAGAGAUGUGGAGGAACACCAGUGGCGAAGGCGACUUUCUGGUCUGUAACUGACGCUGAGGCGCGAAAGCGUGGGGAGCAAACAGG